UGGGGAAUAUUGGACAAUGGGGGAAACCCUGAUCCAGCAAUGCCGCGUGAGUGGAGAAGGCCUUAGGGUUGUAAAGCUCUUUCGCCCGCGAAGAUAAUGACGGUAGCGGGAGAAGAAGCCCCGGCUAACUACGUGCCAGCAGCCGCGGUAAUACGUAGGGUGCGAGCGUUAAUCGGAAUUACUGGGCGUAAAGCGUGCGCAGGCGGUUUUGUAAGACAGAUGUGAAAUCCCCGGGCUUAACCUGGGAACUGCGUUUGUGACUGCAAGGCUGGAGUACGGCAGAGGGGGGUGGAAUUCCACGUGUAGCAGUGAAAUGCGUAGAGAUGUGGAGGAACACCGAUGGCGAAGGCAGCCCCCUGGGCCUGUACUGACGCUCAUGCACGAAAGCGUGGGGAGCAAACA
rnacentral:rRNA from 1 species